rnacentral:sRNA from 1 species
GGGACCAGGAGAGGGAGGGGGCGGCCCCAGUCCUCCGGGGCGUCGCUGUUUCCAAGCGGCGAGAUCUCGCCUAGUAACCGUUAGCUGAGGUUCACUAGCGCGGCGUUGUGGCCCCGCCCCCGGAGCCCCGGCUGGAGGAAGAACCUGUCUCCCGCGGCGCCUCAGUGACGAAGUCCAUCCCCGGGUGCGGGAGGCGGGGAGGGGAGGGCAGGCAGAGGAUUUCGCUCGCUCGCCCGCGCGGGAUCCGGGACGCGCCGGUGGCGUCCGCUGGCAGCAGAGACUGUCAAUUUCGGAUCCAAAGACGGCGAUGGCAGAGCUCACCCGGGUUGCCUGUCAAAUCAAGGCUAUCGCAGAAUAAAUCCCGCCGCCUGCCGCGAAGCCCCGGCGCACCGCAAACUUCAGUGAGCGAACUGGGUGAUCGCUGUUGGGAUAUGCAGAUUCCUGAUGUAAAAGGCGGGGUGG